UAAUGCAAGAUGGAGAAGCAGGGCACGUGCAUUACUAGCUAACAGUAGCUUGGCUACCUAAAUAAGCUAAGGUGAAUUUUGAAGGUUAUAGCUAACUAGUUAGUUAGCUUUUCAUGUGCCCCCAUUCUCCAUCAUGCCCAU